UUGACCAUUAAGCUACCACAACUAAUUGUUCAAAAAUGUUAAAAGUAAACUUCAUAUUAGAAAGUAAAUUUAUCAGCUUAAAAUUCUUUUUUCUUCUUCUAUAUAUUUAUUUUUCAGUAUUGUCCAUGUCGUUGGCGACCAAUUGAAUAUGAUAAUAUCCCUUAAUAGACACCGAAAGUUUUUCUAUUGUCUUAAUAUGAUACUGGUGCUCCAAAAUAUUAUCAAAAACAAUAAGCGUAAAAAAGCUUCAAGGUCUAUUGUGUUUAAGCACAAAGUACAAAUAAAGCGUGAGAUUUAACGAAAAAAAGGAAUAAAAAUAGAAAAAAUAUAAAUAUAUGCCUAAUACAAGUCUAAUAAUAUAAGUAUGAAUGACAAAUAUAGGAACAAAAAAAAAAUCUAUAAAAUGAAAUAUCAAUUGUUUAGUGUUCGUCUCUUCAUAAAGCUUCAUUGACAAGGGAAAGUAUGUAUCAGAAAUUAAAACCUAAGCUGCACAUUAAGUGAGGAGAGCACUUAACACAUUUUGAGUCUUACUUUGAGGCUUAUGCGCGUCUUUAACAACAUUGGUGCACCCACAGAUUUCAAAUUCUAGGUUCGCCUCUGCUCGUGACCUUCUGGUCAUAUGCACGAAACUAUCUUGAAUGAAAAUUUAUCUAUAAUAGUGGUGAUGAAAGUACCACAUUUUUUCGCGUGCAGUCCUAUAUUGUUCGGGCUCUUCAAAAAUGUCAUUGGAUACGUAUCAGAUCCUUUAAAAGUAGUUCAUUUUUAAAGAAUCCGAUCGAUACAGGUACAACCACAUUUUUGAAAAGUCUGAGCAACUUAGGCAUACACCAUUAUUGACCUUAACGAUGAAGGUCCGAGGUUGAGGUUGACUAAAGCAACAUCAACCCCGUAUCUUCAUCGUCUUAAUAGCUCCAACUUUCUUGCUCAAAUGAGUGUUCCAUAUCUGUUUACGAGGUUGUAAUUGUAUCCUGAAAAAAAAAAAAAAAAGGAGAAAUUUAAACUCUACAUUUUUUAAAGUAAUAAACGUACUAAUUAACAUGAUGAAAACAUAUUCCUAACUAAUUGGUGUCACCUACGUACAUAUUGCAUGAAUUUCAAGAUUUACAAAAUAAUAAAACUAUAUUAUAUAAGCUUAGCAGUCGUUUGGUUGAGAAAGAAUUAUCCCAGAUAAUUAAUUCUGGGAUUAGUUAUUACACCAUAUAUAUGGGAUUACUUAUCUCAUCAUUAUGGUAUAAAUGGUGGGAUAAAUAAUCCCGGGACUAAGUUGUACCUCCAACCAAACGCGGAAUAAAAUAAUCCUGCAUUUUAUUCUAUGACUAUUAUACCUCACGCCUCACACCAAAUGACUCCUAACUGUUUAGAGGGUUUGUCUAGAUAACAUUAGCCCUGACUGACAAGAUAAAUUAAAAAAAAAAAUAAGAUGAAAAUAAAUAACAAUAAAAAUAACAACAAUACUACAAGAAGAAGCUUGAAAAUUAGAGGCGGAUUCAAAAUAUUUAGUUUAUGAAUUCUUGACAUAAAAAACAUUUUUGCUGUUAUGGAUAUUAUAGGUGUACUGUACAUAGUAAAUAAAAUUUUCAAUCUAAAUAUAUCUUUUGAACUAUUAAUUCUGUCGAACUCGUAACGUAACUAUAAUAGUAUAUUAUAGUGGUAAGAAAGUUAAGUUACAAAUCUGAACUUUCAAGGCAAUUAUAAGGGUCAAUUUUACGUAUACUCACAAACAUUUUGCUCAUCAUAUACUAAAAUAAUAAUAAAACUAUUUAUUUUUCAUAUCAAACGAAAUGAAUUUUGCUCAUAAUAACAGUAAAUUAAGUCACAAAAUUAUUUUUAAAAACAGUACCAUUAAACUUCGAAUGGGCUUUGUCCUUCUUUUUCUUCUUGCUCCAUAUGAUUUAUUGGCAUUCAAGAAAAGAAACAUAAUAUGACCAUAUGAAAUAUAUCUCUUACUACAAAAAGAACUGAAAUUAGCUACGAAUUUUAUCACUAAAUUGUAGCUCGUAGCUAACAAUUUGUUUUGAUAAGCGAUCGAUAAUUCGCCACAAAUUAGAAUUAGUAACAAAUUUUGUUGUUUAGCUACAGAAUUGUACGUCGCUAAUUUUUUUUUUUAAAAGUAAUGUCUAAGCUAAGAGUACU
rnacentral:lncRNA from 1 species